AUGUCGAAUAGAGGAGCUUCGGCAAUGGAAGACAUCGUGGUUCCCAGGGCCGAUAGAUCUUACUUGAAGGAUGAAUCUAGACUCUCCGGAGCACAUUACACUAUAGCGGCUGAAGAAAUGGAAAGUGCCUAUCUUCUGGAAGCCAUCUCAGCUCAGCAAGCGGAAGUCGUAGCAUUAAUUAGGGCCUGUCAGUUGGCAAAAGAAAUAUCCACUGAUAUUUAUACAGACAGUAGAUACACUUUUAGAGUAGCCUAUGAUUUUGAAAGGUUAUGGGAACAAAAAGGGAUCUUGACCUCUCCGGAUCAAUCCAUAAAAAGUGGCCACCUUAUUUCACAACACUAGAAGCCACAUGAUUACCACAGUCACUGGCCAUUAGUAAAAUUCCAGAUAAUUCCAAAUCAGAUACUCCAGAAAGCAGAGGAAAUCAGCUAGCUGAUGAAGUAACAAAGAGAACUUCUCUAAACACAUCCAAACAAACAAACAAAAACCAACCUAUGUUAACUUUUGAGGAUGCACCUGAAUUUGAGAAAAAAUUAGCUCAAGUCAGAACCCCGAAAUCAAAACAAAAAGGCUGGGAAACAAAAGGGUGAAAUAUACUCUUCAAAACAUGAGACAGGGUAUGUGCCAAAUGACUUGCCCGUACUUCCAGCUGAAUUACAAUUAUUUUUUACUUGUGUAUAUGAUCUAACUCACUAGAGUCCUGACAGAUGGUUGCUUGGGGAAAACAAUAUUAUUAAAGCCUUCUCUGAGUAUAGCUCAUAAGGCAUACAACUCCUGUCACAUUUGCAUAAGGUACAGUCAGGGAAAACCAUUACCUGGCUCCCAAAGACAUUUUCCUUUACCCAAGUCUCCCUCUGAAAUAUGGCAAAUGGACUUUAUCUGGCAGCCACCUUCAUAUCACAGGGCUACAGAUAUGUUCUGGUAAUUUUCUGCAUGUUUUCUCAUUGAGAGAGGUAUUUCCAUGCAAAAGAGCAACAGCUUUAGCAGUAAGUAAAAUUGUCUUUAAAAAGAUUAUUCCAACCUGGGAGUUCCUCUGGAACUUCAUAGCAACAGAGACACUCACUUUGACUGGACAAAUAAUUCAAUCAGUACAUAGAAUCUGGCCUAUUUUUCAACAUUUCCAUUGUGCUUGUCACCCUAGCUAUCUGCAUUAGUGAAACACACACGUGAAAUAAUAAAAACCCAGUUAACAAAAUUAAUG
rnacentral:lncRNA from 1 species